rnacentral:rRNA from 1 species
UAAAAAGCUCGUAGUCGGACUUGUGUCCCACGCUGCCGGUUCACCGCCCGUCGGUGUUUAACUGGCAUGCACGUGCGGACGUCCUGCCGGUGGCCCGAGCCGGCGCGGGUCUCGCACCCGUCGUCCGGGGAAGGCCUAUCAUACCCGUCGCGGUGCUCUUAACCGAGUGUCUCGAUGGGCCGGCACGUUUACUUUGAACAAAUUAGAGUGCUUAAAGCAGGCAGCAUCCGCCUGAAUACCGAGUGCAUGGAAUAAUGGAAUAGGACCUCGGUUCUAUUUUGUUGGUUUUCGGAAUCCCCGAGGUAAUGAUCAAUAGGGACAGACGGGGGCAUUCGUAUUGCGACGUUAGAGGUGAAAUUCUUGGAUCGUCGCAAGACGGACCGAAGCGAAAGCAUUUGCCAAGAAUGUUUUCUCUGAUCAAGAACGAAAGUUAGAGGUUCGAAGGCGAUCAGAUACCGCCCUAGUUCUAACCAUAAACGAUGCCAGCCAGCAAUCCGCCGAAGUUCCUCCGAUGACUCGGCGGGCGGCUUCCGGGAAACCAAAGCUUUUGGGUUCCGGGG